ensembl:lncRNA
AAAUUAAAGAAUUUCUGAAACGUUCAAACCAUGCUGGUCAUGCACAGCUAGAAGACAGUCAAUGGCUGUUGGAUUUAGCUUUUCUUACCGAUCCGACUGACAAGCUCAAUAACUUGAAUCUAGAGCUGCAGGGUAAGGAGAAACACAUCAUGAACACAAUCAGCGCCGUGAACACCUUUAAAAAGCAAGUUACACCUGCUAUCAAGCCCGUUGCGACAGUGUGAUCUGCGGAACUUUACACACAUGGACACAGAACUUAAGCGUCAGGGCAAAGACUGUUAUGAUGAGCAAGUGCAGAGCAUCUUGUCAGAAUUUGACAGGCGCUUCACUGACUUUGCAUCCAUCUGUUUUCCAUUUGGGGAAAAUAUAGAUGUGGAUUGUAUAACGUCCAAAGUGGCAUCACUCUUCAACCUGGAUAGCUGUGCUGUUGAGAAUGAGAUCCUCACACUGAAGAAUUACAUUGAGCUCCAAUCCAGAGCAACACAUGACAUGAAUGUCCAGUUCUGGAAUCUAAUGCAGAAAGAGAAGUACCCCAACCUCAGACAAACUGCAGAGAAUUUGACUGCACUUUUUGGAUCAACAUAUUUGUGUGAGUCUGCUUUUUCACAUAUGAAAACCAUCAAGUCAAAAUACAGAUCCACCAUGACUGAUGACCACCUUGCAGUCUGCUUACGGCUGCCACUCAGCUCUUACUGUCCGGACUAUGAGAGACUAUAGUCCUCCUCUCAGUGCCAGAAAUCCCACUAACGGUAAAGAAAUACCACUUUUCCAACUCGAAUUAGUUCUUAUAAAAAAGAAUAAAAGAAUUAGGCAUUGCAUUAUUUUGGUUGUUUGUCUGUUGUGUUGUUACGGGCCAGUCCUAGGCCUACUUGUGCUUAUUCUUUGCGCAUUCACAUUUACUUCAAAAAUGUAUUAUGAUUGUUAAAACUCUAUGUGUCAGAAAACAGUGUCCUAUAUAGGUGCUCAAUAAAUUGUGGCUACGCUAGGGCUUUCGAUAUGGCUUGGUGGAUCUCGAUGCUCAACUUUAAAAGUAGAUCUUGGUUCAAAAAAGGUUGGGCACCCCUGCCUUAAAGGGUUUGACAGCAACUAUGUGAUUGGUUUAGAGCCACAGCGCCGCCUCUGUUGGUCGUAUACACCUGGGUGCAGCCAAUCUCCACUGAUUGGAUAAUUCUGGGAGACCAGCUGAAGCAUAUUUACAUUACGCGUGGCAUAAAGGGAGUCUUCCUUCUAGAACUACCGCUUAAGCGCUAUUUCAAUCAGGACAGACUCUGUCUGAAUUGACAAACAUUUAUUACACAGUAUAAUAUUGAAAUAGUGCAGAAUCUUUGGCGGUUGAACUCCAUCCUAAACCGGGAUAAUCAAGGGGCCGUGAUGCAGAGUUCUGCUAUGCAUAAAAUGAACAGUGUCUUACCUACCGCCGCCCCAGCGUCCUAAGCAAAAGAGAACAUUAGUCACAGGAUAAAUGGUUUAUAUCAUCACUUUAGGUUCGCUAGCCAGAGUAGACCCAGUGACUAGUACAGCGAAAAACACCCACCAAUGUAUGAGGGGCCGUGAGGGACAUUAUUCAGAAUACCCUCUGACACACACUACUGGAAUUCUAUACGCUCACACACACUACUGAAAUGCUCUCACACACACGCAUAUGAAAAUCUCAGUUAAAACGGAAGGUGUGCGGCAAUAAUGUCAGCUCAACCGUGUGCUCAACAGGCUUCAAGCAACUUAGCCGAAGCAGCGGCGUUACUAAACAAUAUAUUGGCCUCAGUGGAGACAAUCAGAACAUUGUCUAAUGCCUCAAGUGUUCAGCAGCAGCCGGUCGUUUUUCGCGGCUCCAGGUGUGGACACAGUCGACAGCCACCUAGCAGCUCUCUUUCCGUCCCGGCAGCGUAGCGGCGCGCCGCUGUCUGCCGCGGGUCCAACCGGGAGACACUGUGCAUCCCGCUAUCAAGCGCAGCAGCACUUCGGCACGUGGACAUCCAAAGGCAUGAGGAGAAAAAGGUAAUUAUACGUAUGGAAAUGAUCUUUCGUGUGCAGUUUGCUAGCUGGCUAGUUCACCUCUAGGACACUAGCCUAGCCUAGCUUACUGUAUGAAUGAACGAAUGAACCAACAAACAAUAUUUAACUCAAAAAGGAGUAAGCGUGGGAAUUGGGUUUAACUAAAACCAGGAAUGUAGUGUAUAUGUGAAUGGAAUGUAUUGUAACGGACUGUUGUUAACAUGUUCCGUGAGCAGGGAUGCACUUUACGGAGUUUGAAAGUUUAGUGAAGGGCAAAUGUUUAUGUCGCUCAUCCUAGUGCCACCUAUGGGAAUAUGUUGUGGUGAUGUUUGGGUACGGUGGCCGAGAAGGUUCAGACAAAAGCCACAACACAAACGCAAAUGCUACAACACAACCCGAAAGCCACAACACAAACGCAAAUGCCACAACACCAAAAUACAAAAGCCACAACACAACCCGAAAGCCACAACACAAAAGCCACAACACAAACGCAAAAUGCCACAACACAAAAGCCACAACACAAACGCAAAAUGCCACAACACAAACGCAAAUGCCACAACACAACCCAAAUGCCACAACACAAACGCAAAAUGCCACAACACAAACGCAAAAUGCCACAACACAAACGCAAAAUGCCACAACACAAGCCGAAAGCCACAACACAAGCGCCACAACACAAAAGCCACAACACAAAAUACAAAAGCCACAACACAAAAUACAAAAGCCACAACACAAAAGCAAAUGCCACAACACAACCCGAAAGCCACAACACAAAAUACAAAAGCCAUAACACAAACGCAAAUGCCACAACGCAACGCAAAAGCAAAAACGGAAGUAGUAGUAGUAAGAAGUUAUUCUUACUUAACGAUCUGGCAUCCUCCAGUACGCUCGCUCCCGUGGGCAGCCAUUUCCGUUUUUGAGAUAAAUGUAUUAGAGAAGUGGAAUGCUGGAAUACUCAAUGUCACAGGGAAGUCAAUGUUUUAAAAAACUUACAGAUGAAACAUGUAAAAUGGACUUCCCUUAAGAAACAUGCGCUGCUUUAGCGUUAGCUAACGCAAGUUAACGUUAGCUAAAGCUGCGCAUGUUGGUGAUGCUCUGAAGCCGUGUUAACUGACAGUGACUGACUCGCCUCGGUGGCUUUGAAGAUGACUGACUGACUUUCUGACCUCUGGUCAUGAUGCUAAACACGCUCAGCUAACUAGCUUAAAUGCUGCCAAAUCGGACUUCAGUAAAAUGGAAUUUCUCUGGUUUAACUUUUUAAGAAUGUUUCACAACUUGUGUGCAAGCGUUAUUUAACAACGUAACAAAAAGCAGUUAACGUUACUUACCAAAUAACGGAUUUUCACCCGAGCCAAUUUCAGUCAGCAAAAAAGCCAGAAGGAACACAUGCGCAAACGGUAGUCCUUGAUUAAUGAAUUUGAGUUGACACAUACACGCUUUAACCUAAAUAAAUCUCAUAAGUGAAACUAUUAAACCAUUUUAUGUUGCUGCUAUUGAUUACAUAUAUCUUCAUCCUUGAAUAGAUGUAUUCAAAUAAAGCAAACACCAUUUAAACUCAUUGAGUGUGCCACUUGUUUGCUUCCCCUCUGGUGAUGGAAUUAUGGAUUUUUCUUUUACCCUUUUUGAAAUCUUUAGUUUUCAGAUCUUUUGAGUGGAAGUUUCUGCUCACAUCUGUUCUCCUCUUGGGUCUUUUCCUACAGAACCACAACAACAACACUUGCAUGUAAUCCUAAACAUUGUAAUGCACUGGGUUUGACCCAUCUGUAAUGUGGCUGUAAAUUGUUUUAAGUUAAAACUACAGCCAGUGGUACAUAAAGAUACCAAAGCAAGGAAUGCAGUUGACUUUUAUUCUUUGAAACUAUGAAGUCCUGCCCUUCUUCUGUCAGCGUCCUGGUAUUUCACCAAGCUCUUUAUCUUAAGAAAACAAUUCAAACAACCCGCAUUUGAGAACUACAUUAUUGCAGCUUCAAAAUGAUUAUCACGCAGUCUCUGUACAUAUACAGACACAAAUGGCAUUUGGGAAGUGAAGAAUGGCGAGUAAGUGAGUACACACACCGGAGAAAGUCUCUAAACUUCACUACCAUGAGCUCCUCUUUUGGCCUCCUGUUGCUUCCCAGGGCCGAGUAACUUGGCUUUAAGAGGCAAGCAAGAACUUCUGCUGUGACCUCAUCUCUCUUCUCAGGCACGUCAAGAACGAUUCUCAUGCUACGAUCUUUCCUCAGUGGAAGUACCUUUCAGGAGGGAAGAAAGGAACCAUAGUAAUAGUAGUUUUUGUCGUAGAACUUGCUGUUAAGGGACACACAUCUACCUUGCUGUGCACAAUAAAUUGCUUUCACUUACUCCAUAAUAGGACAGACUUCUAUUUCUUUAUGCACGAUCACACUCCAGCGCAUUGGUUGGGAAAGAAAACAAACAUAACAGCAUUGUUGUAUGAUUACACCAGAGGGGUAUACAACGUCAGUAGUAUAUAACUGCCAGUGUAGCAGUAUAGAGGUGCCACCCUUUUGGCAAUUAACGCCAGGUGGCUGCAAUUAGGUGGGCUGGUUUAAAAGUGGCACGCCUCCACCAGCUCUUCCUCUAGUUUUUCCACUCCAAAAGCAGAGAAGAUUUAAUGUUCGAAAUCCUACAAUCCCUUUUCAGAACCGAUCAAAUGCGGAUGGCAGUUAGGUUUGUGUGGGUCCCUGCCCAUGUUGGAGUCGAGGGAAAUGAGGAGGCGGAUAAAGCAGCAAAAAGGGCGCUGAAGUGUGGGAGAAAUAUAGUCGAUAUAAAGAUGAGUAAGGCAGAAGCUAAAGGGGUGAUUAAGGGACAAAUCAAAACGAUAUGGCAGAAUGAAUGGAAUAAAGGGAGCAAAGGAAGAUAUCUGUUUAAAAAUAAACCAUUGGUUGGGAGUGUAGGAGCUGAAAUGGCCAUACUGGUCUUAACAGUUCCCUCUAUACGGUUGGGAAACAUCGAAAUAGAAGGUGAGAAUACUGUCAAGAAGAGGAAACUGUGGACCAUGUUUUGAUGGCAUGUCAGAGGUACGAGGCAGAGAGAGAAGUCCUGAGAAAGGGGCUAAGAGAGCUGGGAGAGGCAAAUAUAAGUGAAAUACUGAAGAAGGGCAUUAGGGACAAGUGUUGGGAACUGCUGUUGGCAUAUUUAGAGAAUACAAGACUAA